UCUUCAGUAGCACAGUGGUAGUUGCGUCGAGCUGUUACAACAGAAGCCACUCGAAGGUCGCAAGUUCGAUCCUUGUCUGAAGAG